rnacentral:rRNA from 1 species
GAUGAACGCUGACAGAAUGCUUAACACAUGCAAGUCGGUGGCGGACGGGUGAGUAACAUAUCGGAACGUACCGAGUAAUGGGGGAUAACUAAUCGAAAGAUUAGCUAAUACCGCAUAUUAUUCGAGCGGCCGAUAUCUGAUUAGCUGGUUGGUGGGGUAAAGGCCUACCAAGGCGACGAUCAGUAGCGGGUCUGAGAGGAUGAUCCGCCACACUGGGACUGAGACACGGCCCAGACUCCUACGGGAGGCAGCAGUGGGGAAUUUUGGACAAUGGGCGCAAGCCUGAUCCAGCCAUGCCGCGUGUCUGAAGAAGGCCUUCGGGUUGUAAAGGACUUUUGUCAGGGAAGCGGUACCUGAAGAAUAAGCACCGGCUAACUACGUGCCAGCAGCCGCGGUAAUAC